CGGUGGCGGUGGCAGCGAAUCACUUAUAGAUGGCGCCCAAGCAGGACCCGAAGCCUAAGUUCCAGGAGGGUGAGCGAGUGCUGCGCUUUCAUGGACCUCUUCUUUAUGAAGCAAAGGUUGUGAAGGUUGUCAUAAAGGACAAGCAAGUGCAGUAUUUUAUACAUUACAGUGGUUGGAAUAAAAACUAGGAUGAGUGGGUUCCAGAGAGCAGAGUGCUCAAGUAUGUGGACACCAAUCUCCAGAAGCAGCGAGAACUUCAGAAGGCCAAUCAGGAGCAGUACGAAGAGGGGAAGAGGAGAGGGGCAGCUCCAGGGAAGAAGACCUCUGGCCUGCAGCAGAAGGGCAUUGAAGUGAAUAAAAAAGAAUAAGCAGAAAACACCUGGCAAUGGAGAUGGUGGCAGUACCAGCGAGACACCCCAGCCUCCUCGGAAGAAAAGGGCUCGGGUGGAUCCUACUGUUGAAAAUGAAGAAACAUUUAUGAACAGAGUUGAAGUUAAAGUGAAGAUUCCUAACGAACUGAAACCAUGGCUUGUUGAUGACUGGGACUUAAUUACCAGACAGAAACAGCUCUUUUAUCUUCCUGCUAAGAAGAAUGUAGAUUCCAUUCUAGAAGAUUAUGCAAGUUAUAAGAAAUCUCGAGGAAAUACAGACAAUAAGGAGUACACCGUGAAUGAAGUGGCUCCCCCCCUAGUACCACCGGAAGGCCGUGUGAGCGCCCAUGUGCAUCUGUGGAACAUGUUGCAAGGAAGAGAAAGGGAAGGAACUCACAUCAAACCUUCCCUAAAAUUUCUAGAAGUGUGGAUGAUGGAGAGAUCAUCUACAUCUUCAACUGAAGUCAUCCCCGUGCAAGAAAUGAUAGUGAUUAUGAAAUUUUCUUCUGAACAGGUUCUAUGCCAAGUCUUGAAAGGGGAUAAAGGAAGUGUCCUCAGAACUGGAAUCAAAACCUUCACCAAAACCAUGUCUUUGUCAAUGAUUAUGACAGCUACAGAUUCCAAUGGCUGCAAAACCAGUGCCAAGAAGAGACCAAUGUUGGGAAGCUGUAUCCAGUUGGCCAGUGACCAUGGCCCCCACACACUUAAAAGUUCCUCAGAAAUUCCAACCCAAAUAAGUCCACAAGCCAAGCUGAAAUAA